rnacentral:lncRNA from 1 species
AUGAGAAUUCAGAACUACAAUUUGCAUUGAGAUAUAGGUUUAGGAAAAACCCAGCAGCUCUUGUGAUUCUACUAGCGGAAAUUGAUUCAUUCUCCUGACAGGAGGAACCUAUCUGCUUCAUCCUUUUGGUUCUGUACUUGCAGAGCGUCUUUGUUCUUGAUUGGUGCGAACUGUUUUUUCUAGAGACAACACAGCACUCUUUUUUACUUUCGAUUUCGAAAAUAGGUACUCUUGUCGGUCGAAAAAAGGCAGCACUGCAACAACUAAACCAGCGACAGAUUCAGUACAAGGUCUUAUGCAAGAUUGACUGAUGAUCAGAAGUUCAGAACUCAUGAGCUACACACUGCGUGCAACAACAGAGGUAGAGGACUACAUGCUCCAAUCAAUACAAUUUCAGCCAAUCUGCGGAAACUCGGGAGACAAAGAUAAAUCAAACAUCCAACUACGCU